ACUCCUACGGGAGGCAGCAGUGAGGAAUAUUGGACAAUGGAGGCAACUCUGAUCCAGCCAUGCCGCGUGCAGGAAGACUGCCUCAUGGUUGGUAAACUGCUUUUAUACAGGAAGAAACCACUCUACGUGUAGAGUUCUGACGGUACUGUAGGAAUAAGCACCGGCUAACUCCGUGCCAGCAGCCGCGGUAAUACGGAGGGUGCGAGCGUUAAUCGGAAUUACUGGGCGUAAAGCGCAUGCAGGUGGUUUGUUAAGUCAGAUGUGAAAGCCC
rnacentral:rRNA from 1 species